rnacentral:rRNA from 1 species
AUUGAACGCUGGCGGCAGGCUUAACACAUGCAAGUCGAGCGGAGAGAGGUAGCUUGCUACUGAUCUUAGCGGCGGACGGGUGAGUAAUGCUUAGGAAUCUGCCUAUUAGUGGGGGACAACAUUUCGAAAGGAAUGCUAGUAUCGCAUACGUCCUACGGGAGAAAGCAGGGGAUCUUCGGACCUUGCGCUAAUAGAUGAGCCUAAGUCGGAUUAGCUAGUUGGUGGGGUAAAGGCCUACCAAGGCGACGAUCUGUAGCGGGUCUGAGAGGAUGAUCCGCCACAAUGGGACUGAGACACGGCACAGACUCCGACGGGAGGCAGCAGUGGGGAAUAUUGGACAAUGGGCGCAAGCCUGAUCCAGCCAUGCCGCGUGUGUGAAGAAGGCCUUAUGGUUGUAAAGCACUUUAAGCGAGGAGGAGGAUACUUUAGAUAAUACCUAGAGAUAGUGGACGUUACUCGCAGAAUAAGCACCGGCUAACUCUGUGCCAGCCGCCGCAGUAAAAC